CCUCAAAAGCAGUGGAUCUUCGAAAAUUUCUUAGUUGUACUUUGCCCUGACCUUCUUUCCAUGUUUCAUACGUGUAGCUUGGCGCGUAGUUUUUCAUU
ensembl:ncRNA W10D5.5 ncRNA